rnacentral:lncRNA from 1 species
AAAACUGCCUAAAACCACUUUCUGGGCAGUUUUGAGCACCUACACUAAUUUGGACGAAAUUUGAUGAAAACUUGAAUCAAAAUACUUAGAAACACAAAUCAAAACACUUUCUAACUAAUCUAAGACUUCAAAUUAAAGGGGGAUUUUGUUUUGACGAAAAUUAAACUAAAGAAAACAGAUUGGAAAUAGGGCAGAUUGUAAAAACGAUUUUG